AGUUUUAACCACUGGACCACCAGGGAAAAUUGGGAAAGUCAAAGUGUCAGUUGCUUAGUCUUAUCCGACUCUUUACGACCCCAUGGACUAUAGCCUGCUAGGCUCCUGUGUCCAUGGAAUUCUCCAGGCAAGAAUACU